rnacentral:rRNA from 1 species
UGGGGAAUAUUGGACAAUGGGGGCAACCCUGAUCCAGCCAUGCCGCGUGCGUGAAGAAGGCCUUAGGGUUGUAAAGCGCUUUCAGCGGGGACGAUGAUGACGGUACCCGCAGAAGAAGCCCCGGCUAACUCCGUGCCAGCAGCCGCGGUAAUACGGAGGGGGCUAGCGUUGUUCGGAAUUACUGGGCGUAAAGCGCGCGUAGGCGGACUUUCAAGUCAGGGGUGAAAUCCCGAGGCUCGACCUCGGAACUGCCUUUGAUACUGUAAGUCUUGAGUCCGAGAGAGGUGAGUGGAAUUCCUAGUGUAGAGGUGAAAUUCGUAGAUAUUAGGAAGAACACCAGUGGCGAAGGCGGCUCACUGGCUCGGUACUGACGCUGAGGCGCGAAAGCGUGGGGAGCAAACAGGAUUAGAUACCCGCGUAGUCC